ACGGAAGGCAGCAGUGGGGAAUAUUGCACAAUGGGGGAAACCCUGAUGCAGCGACGCCGCGUGAGUGAAGAAGUUAUUCGUAAUGUAAAGCUCUAUCAGCAGGGAAGAAAAUGACGGUACCUGACUAAGAAGCCCCGGCUAACUACGUGACAGCAGCCGCGGUAAUACGUAGGGGGCAAGCGUUAUCCGGAUUUACUGGGUGUAAAGGGAGCGUAGACGGUCUGGCAAGUCUGAUGUGAAAGGCAGGGGCUCAACUCCUGGACUGCAUUGGAAACUGUCAGACUUGAGUGCCGAAGAGGUAAGCGGAAUUCCUAGUGUAGCGGUGAAAUGCGUAGAUAUUAGGAGGAACACCAGUGGCGAAGGCGGCUUACUGGACGGUAACUGACGUUGAGGCUCGAAAGCGUGGGGAGCAAACAGGAUUAGAUACCCUGGUA
rnacentral:rRNA from 1 species